rnacentral:misc_RNA from 1 species
GAGAAGAACGUAGCGAAAUGCGAUAAGUAGUGUGAAUUGCAGAAUUCAGUGAAUCAUCGAAUCUUUGAACGCACAUUGCGCCCCUUGGUAUUCCAUGGGGCAUGCCUGUUCGAGCGUCAUUUGUACCUUCAAGCUCUGCUUGGUGUUGGGUGUUUGUCUCGCCUCUGCGUGUAGACUCGCCUCAAAAUAAUUGGCAGCCGGCGUAUUGAUUUCGGAGCGCAGUACAUCUCGCGCUUUGCACUCAUAACGACGACGUCCAAAAGUACAUUUUUACACUCUUGACCUCGGAUCAGGUAGGGAUACCCGCUGAACUUAAGCAUAUCAAUAAGCGGAGGA